CAGCCGCCGCGGUAAUACCGGCGGCCCGAGUGGCGGUCACUAUUAUUGGGCUUAAAGCGUCCGUAGCCGGGUUGGGAAGUCCUCCGGGAAAUCUGGCCGCUUAAAGGUCAGAAUGCCGGAGGAUACUCCCAGCCUAGGGAGCGGGAGAGGCCGAGGGUAUUCCCGGAGUAGGGGUGAAAUCCUAUAAUCCCGGGAGGACCACCUGUGGCGAAGGCGCUCGGCUGGAACGCGUCCGACGGUGAGGGACGAAGGCCAGGGGAGCAAACCGGAUUAGAUACCCGGGUAGUCCUGGCUGUAAACGAUGCGGACUUUGUGUCGGACAAGCUAUGAGCUUGUCCGGUGCCGGAGGGAAACCGUUAAGUCCGCCACCUGGGGAGUACGGCCGCAAGGCUGAAACUUAAAGGAAUUGGCGGG
rnacentral:rRNA from 1 species